rnacentral:tRNA from 1 species
GCCCCCAUAGCUCAGCCGGUAGAGCGUGUGGCUGUUAACCACAAGGUCGUCAGUUCGAGUCUGACUGGGGGCG